GCGCACCAGUCGCGAAAACUUCACACUGUGCGAAAGCACGAUGAGGGAAUCCCAAGUGCUUGCACGUAAGUGUAAGCUGUUUCUCUGUCUAAAACGCAGAGAGAGUAAGGGCUGGGUAAGACGGGUGCCAGCCGCCGCGGUAAUACCUGCAGCUCAAGUGGUGACCGUUAUUAUUGGGCCUAAAACGUCCGUAGCCGGUUUAAUAAAUGCCUGGGUAAAUUGUGUAGCUUAACUAUACGAAUUCCGGGUAGACUGUUAAACUUGAGACCGGGAGAAGUUAGAGGUACUCCUGGGGUAGAGGUGAAAUUCUGUAAUCCUAGGGGACCACCAGUGGCGAAGGCGUCUAACUAGAACGGGUCUGACGGUGAGGGACGAAGCCCUGGGGCGCAAACGGGAUUAGAUACCCCUGUAGU
rnacentral:rRNA from 1 species